GGUCCCGCCCCCGUCCUCCCUGAUUGGACAGCGUUACAAUCCAGGGCGUGCCUGACAGGCGCUGGCGCUGGUCACGUGGUAGGGCCGGGCGGAAGCCUGGGCUCUCGGCCUCGGCGGCUUCCUGCCCGGCUUCCUCCCCGGACUGGGACCGCCCGCUCGGGUCGUGGGCUCCAAGCAGAAGCCGCUGCCGGCUGGCGGACCUGGCCUCAUCCUGCAGCUCAUCCUUAUGUUGGACCGGGAAGUCCUGACUCAGUUUCCCUGGAGUGCCCCCAUCUGGAGCUGGGACAGGGGGCCUGUCACAGAUUUCCCCCAUCUGAUGACAGAGCCGGUGAAACUUUCUGCUCAAUGUGAGGAAGCCACAACCCAGCAGUGUCAGGCCAGCUUCCAGGUGUCCGAGGCUGCCUUUGCCAUUCUCAUUGGCUACGUGAACACUGAUAUAUUUCUUUCUGUGCACGGGGACUGUUUCAAAUGUCUUCUGUAAAGUGACUAAGGUAACAUAUAAACCUAGUUCCUCCUCAGCAAACUCUAUAAGGUAGACACGUUUAUUAUCUCCCGGGAUGAGUUAACUGAGACUAUGAACAUAGGUGAUUUAUCAGAGGCCACCCAGGAUCAGAUAGGAAGGAAGCUGCCCAGGAUCAUGACGCAAACCCCGCCUUCCUUUCUCACAGUCCAUCCUCUUCCUCUGGUGCUAAAUGUUGAGCAUCCCUCAUAGCCACACACGCGAGGCUCAAAACAGUUAGUCUCUACACUAAUCUGGGCACUGCAGGCACUUGCCCAUCUGUCUUCCUGCUCUCUGCGACCUUCUCAGAAGCACCUGCUCCCUUGACACUCCCCCAGUGUCACCCCGCCCUGGGCUGGAGUGACUCUGCCAGUCUAGGACCUGUGUAUAAUAAACUACUUUCCUGAGCCUUCCUCUGCCCCCUCUCUGGCCAUACAUGACAGGCCAUCCUCUCAAGGGACAGAGAACAGGUGCAGAGUGACAGCCCACAAACAGCAUUCAGUGGGCAUCCUGCCAAACUUCAGAGUCAGAUCCUGAGAGCACAAGAAACAACAGGACCACAACUUGAUGAGGGAAACACUCUCUGGGUAUUCAGAAGGGUAGCUAUCUGUAGGAAAUGUUUGAUUCAAGAAUCUCAUGGUUCUGAUAGGAAAAGGCAAGAGUCCCAUGGAAAAUGUCAAGUAUGAGCUCUGUCCACUGGUGGGGAAAUGGCACAGUGUGCUUGUGACCCACACUUUUCAUGCUGGUACAGUUUAGUGCAGCUGUCCUGAGCCUCAUCAGUGUGUUGGGGUCCCCAUAAGCACUGGUCAUGUCGACUGGUGAGUUGAUGACACCAGAGAGGAGAGUCCAUCCUGACAAGGGUUGGAAGCCCUUAGGUACAGGCUUCCUCUCUGGAAAGGCUGUAAAGAUACCUUUACUGACCAUUUCCUCUCUCAGGUCCCUGGAGGAGUAGUCACCUUAAACAUCCUCUGAGACAUAGAGCCCCAGCCAGGCCCGCACAAAAUACAGGACAUCCACCAUGCCCAGGGCCAGAGAAGGAUCCCUGGAGACCAUCUGACUCAGGAGAAACUGACCUUUGUCCCUGGAGGCACAGCAACAAAAUUGUAAGUGGUCAGAAUGAAGAGAAAACGCAUGGUCCAUUUCUCAUCUAGUGGGAACAACACAAGAGAACAUUCCUGGGCAGGAGCAUCAUCAAUCAAUUACCCACCUGUCAGACAGACAAAUGGCCAGCAGAUAUUCAGCACAAUUUCUAAAAACAAUAAGACAGGGAGAAGAUGUUUCCACUCCAGUAUCAACUACCAUUAAACCACUGAGUUAUUUGGAGAACAAACAUUUAGAAGCAGCAUUUCCAGGAAUUAGUAGUUUACUCAAGUUGGUUAUGCCCGUAAACUGGAGGUCCCUCUCCUAACUCAUUCCCACCCAAACUAAGUGCUCACCUCACCAAGAACGCUGGUGGUUCUACUUGUCCACAGACAACUAGGGAAGAUGUGUGUUCAGUUCUGCCUCCCACACUGCUCAUCUGCAGGAGCCUGACUCCUGGGGACCUCUGGCUGGAGACUACUGACAUGAGGAACAUUUGGGUUUUCACCAUUAGGAAUGAAGAAAUGAUUUUAAUGAAAAGACGUUGGUAGCAGCAUAUGAAGUUAAGAAAAACAAACCAAAAAGAAAAA